rnacentral:lncRNA from 1 species
GUUCUGGCUCAACGCCCAGGUUCUGCUCACCUGACCAAUUCCGGGAGCUACCAAUCAUUCCACCCCAGGGCUCUCCUCCUUUCCUCCCACAACCACCACCCCACUUUUCCUCUCCAGGAUGCAGACAGCCCCCACAGAGGGCAGAGAACUCAGGAAACAGGCUCUCUUUCCUUUGCCAGAAAACAUGACCCUGAGAGGAAAUUCAGCUCCUCAUAAUGAUCAGCUUCACCAGGGUUCUGUGGUGAUUAUGACAAGGCGAAGAAGAGUUCUGGGAGCAUCACAUAUGAAAGGUGCUAUUUUAAGUGCCAAGUAUGUUGUCUCUCUGGCGCAUAUCUUCUCUCACUUUCCUACUUUUAGAGAAGGAGAGGGGGAGAUAGAAUUGUGGGGGGAGGGGGAAAGAGAGAGAGAAAGACAGAGGGACAGAGACAGAAACAGACACACAGAGAAAGACAGGGUGAAAGAGAGAGGGAAAGAAGAAAGAGAGAGAGAAAAAAUAGAGAUAAAAAGAAAGAGAGGAGAGAGAAGGAAGGAGGGAACUAAAAAGGGAGAGAGACAGACAGAGGGUGAAGGGGGGAAGGGAGAAAAGAGAGAAAAAUAGAAGUAGAGAAAAAAGGAGAAAAGGAUAUGAGAGAAGGAAAAAGAGGAAAGGAGGAAAGAGGGAGGCAAAUAGAGACAGAGAAACAGAGAGACCAAGAAGAGAUAGGAGAGAGGAGGAGAAAGGGAGAGGGAGGAGGGCAUGGUUUGAGCUGAAAGACGGUGGGAAAGGAAGCUUACUCACUUAGGGAAGGUGGGGACCAGUCAAUGUAGGCUGCCAUGAGUUGUCACAGAUUUUGGGGGAUCACUCUGGUGUAUUUUCAUUCCAAUGAUGCUUCAUCUUUCAUUUCAGGACGUUAUGACCAGCCCUGGGCCUGACAAGUACAAACCGAUACCUUGAAUCAUCACCUCUUCUCAGGAUUGAAUUUCACCCACUAAGGUGCUGGUUAAUCACACAGCAGUUAGGCCUUCGUGGACCACGUCACAGCUCCCUUGUAGCCUGUGUUUAACCACAGCAUCUUAGGAUAGGCAAGUUCUGGUCCAAGUCUCUGUAUCAAGGCAAGAUCACAUCUUUGUGUGAAGAAAUUAAUAACCUUAGAUUUUUGUUCCCCAGAACCUUUUUAAAUUAAAAAAAACAAAAGCAUUGAGGCCUUUGAUUUUUACAUUCCAGUCAUUUAUGGAAAUCAUUCCUUAGAAAUAUUUUUUUUUCUCCUUAUAACAAAGAAAAAUAACUAAGCAAAGACACUCAGCACAGUGACCAUGACUGGCAACAUACAAAACACUGUGCCUUAAUAAUCCCCUACUAACUUGUUUUCCCAGAUCUUAGUACAGUGCUUGGCACACAGUAAGCACUAAAUAAAAGUUUGUUGAAUUGAGUAUGAAUUAAAUUU